UGUAUGAAGAUAUCAGGCAAAAAAUAUUUCAAAAGUGAAGAUGUAUGGCUAGUCUGCAAAUAUGUGUUGUGUACAUGCAAGUUUAACCAAGGUCCAUGAUCAACUGACCAAAUUUUCCGAAGCAUCGUUGAAGAUGCAUGAAGAUAUCAGGCAAAAAAAGUGAAGUGGCUCGAACUGCAUAUUACAGAACUAUCAGAGUUGAAUAAUGUUAAUUCUCAACUAUAGGCUUUGGACUGCUGUAUGCUUUGGAGAUUUUAAACGUAUAUGAAAAACACCCUAAAAAAACUAAGAACAUAUAUGGUCCUUGACUCCUUGUACUUGUUCGAAAAAAGAAAUUUGUAAGAUGGAGUAUUUGUA
rnacentral:lncRNA from 1 species